ACGCCUCUCCCUCCCUGCAGAUCAUGGCGCAUGGCGGUGACACCCCUUCCUCCCCUCCCCCUCUCUCUCAGGGCUAUUUUGCAGCGGCCCUCGUGCUCCUAGCGGCAGUGAGACAGGCGCGCAGCACCCCUGGCGAGAGUGAGGCGGGCCUCUUUGCGGGCGUGUGGGGCAGCGGCCAUGCUCUCCCUGGCCACGGCGGCGAUGGACACGCUCUUCUUGGCUGUGACAGCAUGGAUCCGACACGGAUUUGAUCCGGAGUCACAUGCAUCGGUGGUGACUAGAUCCGACGUCAUGGGCAUCAACUCCAGCGAUGGGGGUGGCUAGCGACUUGAUUCCGGUGGUUCGGCGAGGAUGCUGGCACCGACGAGUAGCGGGCACCUAUGGAUGGGCUCGGCGGGCUUGUGGAUGGGCUCGUUGGGCCUAUGCAUGUGUUUUUUUAUUUUUUUUAUUUUAUUUAUCGUGGCGAGCAUUUGAACCGCCUCGGUAAUUCAUUGAUUUAUUGUGAUCUUUCGACCGAGACGUUGCAAAAACCGCCUCGGUUAAUGUUUUUUGCCCGCCA